AUUGAACGCUGGCGGCAGGCUUAACACAUGCAAGUCGAGCGGAGUGAUGGUGCUUGCACUAUCACUUAGCGGCGGACGGGUGAGUAAUGCCUAGGAAUCUGCCUAUUAGUGGGGGACAACAUCUCGAAAGGGAUGCUAAUACCGCAUACGGCCUACGGGAGAAAGAAGGGGAUCACUUGUGACAUUGCGCUAAUAGAUGAGCCUAAGUCGGAUUAGCUAGUUGGUGGGGUAAAGGCCUACCAAGGCGACGAUCUGUAGCGGGUCUGAGAGGAUGAUCCGCCACACUGGGACUGAGACACAGCCCAGACUCCUACGGGAGGCAGCAGUGGGGAAUAUUGGACAAUUGGGGGAACCCUGAUCCAGCCAUGCCGCGUGUGUGAAGAAGGCCUUAUGGUUGUAAAGCACUUUAAGCGAGGAGGAGGCUCUUUUGGUUAAUACCCAAGAUGAGUGGACGUUACUCGCAGAAUAAGCACCGGCUAACUCUGUGCCAGCCGCCGCGGUAA
rnacentral:rRNA from 1 species